rnacentral:rRNA from 1 species
GAUGAACGCUGGCGGCGUGCUUAACACAUGCAAGUCGAGCGAGAAGUUUUGAAAAGAUUCUUCGGAUGAAAUUUAAAAUGGAAAGCGGCGGACGGGUGAGUAACGCGUAGGCAACCUGCCCCAUACAAAGGGAUAGCAUUUGGAAACGAAUAUUAAUACCUUAUGAAACUUAACUAGUGCAUGCUAGGUAGGUCAAAGAUUUAUCGGUAUGGGAUGGGCCUGCGUCUGAUUAGCUAGUUGGUGAGGUAACGGCUCACCAAGGCGACGAUCAGUAGCCGACCUGGGAGGGUGAACGGCCACAUUGGAACUGAGACACGGUCCAAACUCCUACGGGAGGCAGCAGUGGGGGAUAUUGCACAAUGGGGGGAACCCUGAUGCAGCAACGCCGCGUGAACGAUGAAGGCCUUUGGGUCGGAAAGUUCUGUUCUAGGUGAUGAAAACUGACAGUAACCUAGGAGAAAGCCCCGGCUAACUACGUG